UGUUGCACUCGUGAAAUUUUCACUCUGAAAUUUGGGAUUCGCGAAAUUUUUUCCCAAAUUACGUAUCUGAUGCGGAAUCCAAAUAAAUGGAGGCGUAUCUGAUGCAGUGUCCAAAUUGAUGGCCGCAUCUCAUCCAUGAGCAAACUUCGGACACCGCGUCGUGUAGGUGUCUGCUCCGCCUCCGCGUCGGUGUCCGCUUCGGGAGCGGGAAACGCGUUCCAAGUGACGUGUCGGAGCCAAGAAUGAUUCUUCAUAUUGUGGUGUGGUUUCUUGAGCGAAACAAGAAGAUAGAAGAACCUCCAAGUUUGAUAAAAAAGAAGUGGUUGGAAUGAUACAAGGGGUGUUGCUAGUUUUUUACGGCAAGAUGUUUGAUGAUUGGAAGAUUAAGAUGCUAACCAUCUUUGGCUUUCAAGAUGCUGCAGAAGUGGUGGCCGAUGAGCUGUCAGAACUGGGGUCGAAGAUCACCGAUGAAGAAAAGAAAAAUUACAAGGUUCAGCAAAAGCUUGAUAGCAGGGAAUAGUUCCUCAUUUAUCAACGUGUGAGUCCCAAGAUCUUCAACAAAAUCUCAAAAGCAGCCAUCGCCAAAGAAGAAUGGGGAAUUUUGGUCAAGACCUAUGAUGAUGGUAAUAAAAUCAAGAAGGUUGUGGACAAGAUUAUGAGAACUUUACCUCCAAGGUUUGACCAUGGAGAUCGAAGAGUUGCAACAUUUGCUUGAAGCGCAUGAUUACAGGAUAAAUGAAAGAAGACACAUCCAAGGACAAGCUCUCCAAGCAAGGUCUGGUUAUAAAGGGAAGAAUAAAGGGGGAAAGAAAAGGCAUAAACAAAAACUUGAUCACAAUUCUAAUGGUUCUGGUGACUCUACAAAGGCUAAAGAUUAGAAGGUGAAUGCUUCUUCCAGUGGAAGGAAGGAGUGGAAGUUUGAUAAAAAGGUUAUGUGUUAUAAUUGCAAAAAAUUUGGUCAUUUUUCUCGACAUUUCUAAGAUGGAUAGGGAGUAAAGAAAAUUUUUUUUUUCAAAGACACUCAAAAGAGUUACCUUUCAUAGUCAUCAUUAACCCUUUCUGCAAUAGGUGACCCAAGCUUAAGAUAUUUGUGUUCAAACCUGGUACAUACAACACAUCUUCGAAAUGUUAUCUCUGUCAUGAGCUGCCUCAUUUAUACUAGCAAAGAAUAAACCGAAAAAACGAUGCAAAUCUAGCACAAGAUGAUAAUUCUGAUUUAGAAGCGAUAAUGUUGAUGGCUCAAACUGGCACUGAUGUUGUGGAUGAAUCAUCUUGUUAUUUGUACUCAGGAUGUUCAACACAUAUGACUAGUAGAAAAGACUAGUUUGUUCGUAUAAAUGAGGCAGCUCAUGGAAGGAUUCACUGAUUGCUAUGGGCAAUGAACAUAUGGUUUAAAAGAUUAUGAUGGCAGAGAUGUCAUUAUCGAAGAUGUGUUGUGUGUAGCAGGUUUGAACACAAAUAUCUUAAGCUUGGGUCAACUAUUGCAGAAAGGGUUAAUGAUGACAAUGAAAGGUAACUCUUUGAGUGUCUUUGAUACGAACAGAAGGUUAGUUAUACAUGCUAACUUGUCUCAAAACAGGACAUUUCGGGUGAGAAUGAGCAUUUUGAAAUGUCAGUGUUUUGCCAGUGCAGUGAAUAGAAAUGAAUGGCUUUUGCAUCUUAGAUCUAGAAAUUUGAACUUCAGAGAUUUACAUCAGCUCAACCAACGAAAUAUGGUGUUUUGAUUGCCUAUUGUACUGCUUCCAGAUGAAUUGUGUAAGGAGUGUAUUCAGUGCAAACAGACAAAGGGAAAAUUUUGUAAAUUUUUACCCUAAAAGGCAACUGAGAAGUUGAAAGUCAUCCAUUCAGAUAUUUAUGGGCUAAUAUUGGUUGAAACCCCUGGUUUUAUUUUGUGGUUGUUGCUUAGAAAAGGGCUUGCUUAUUGCAGAUUUAGAAUCUGUGACUGCAAACAUUCCAUUCCUGAUAUGGAAAGUAGAAGAGGUGCCAGUUGUUUAUAUUAUGCUUUAGCUAUUGAAUUCAUAUUAGUGUAGAAGAAGUCCAAAAGCAUGUCAUUGUUUGUCCAACUAAUUGUGAAGCAUAGCAUUCAAUCACUCUAUUGAAACACUUAAAUCCAAAUUUUUCUUUAAAACUAUAGAUAACUGUAAGUUUGUAGAUGAUAUGAAUUCACUUUCAAUAAAAUAAAAUAAAAUCAAUGGAAAGCACCGAGCCGAAUAGAGUGAUUGAAUUGUUAUGCAAUGGAACUAAUUUAGAAAACAAGAAAUUUUACAUGUCAGACAGAGCCAAAUAAAAGGAGGUAGGAAACCUUUGACUUGUAACUAUUUCCUUAUCUGAAAUGAAAAAGCAUGUGAUAUUUCUUAAUAUUUUGUUCUAUCAACAUGAAUAGCAGAUUUGGUUAAUUGAACCUAGUUUUGAAAGUUUAACAUAAAGGAUCUUAUAUGUGAUCCAGCAAAGAGUGGUACAACUAGAACAAUGAGGAUAAGUAACUCGGAAGUUAUGUGGUAUUGAUGGGAAUCUACCUUCUAAGUGGGAUAGGGCUUUUUAGAAAUAUAUCAUCGAAGGCCUUAAUUUUUUCAAUCAGGGGAGAGUUAGCUAGAGCAUAAAGGAGUGUUGUGUGCUUCUGUUAUAUUGGGAUUGCUCACUCUCAUUCUGUGCCGGAUUACCUAUUCUUCUUUAUGUUAUUUCCUUUGUUUUCUGCAGUACCUGAAAUUCAGUAAAAAAGUCCAAAUUCGUCUGUUUAACAGGUUCUUAUGGAGUUUAAGUGUAUUUAUAAGAGCCUAAUUGGUAUUUACUUAUUCAAUUGUUAUUUUGAAAGAGAUGGAGGAUUGAAGUGUGAGGUUCUGGUUAUCCUUUUCUUUCAUCUGUAUAGGGAAAUACUUUAUGAUUUAGAUUUAAA